ACAGUUUGGCAUAAUCACUCGGGCUGUAAUAUCUCUUGAACGGGCGCCUAAGAUGGUGAAAUGGAUCAGGGUAUUGUACUACGAGUUCCCCAAACUCUCCAACGACCAAGAGUAUUUAAUAUCAUCUGAGAAUUCCGUCGACUACAUUGAAGGAUUUGUAAUAAUAAACAGAACUGGUCUUCUCAACAACUGGAGGACCUCCUUCAGUCCCAAAGAUCCACUUCAAGCCAGCCAAUUCAUCUCAGAUGGAAGAACACUUUAUUGCCUGGAAAUUGCUAAAUACUUCAAUCCAGAUGAAUCUGACAUCAUGAACCAGAAAACUGAGGAGUUACUGUCAGAACUAAGUUAUAUUCCA
rnacentral:misc_RNA from 1 species